GGCUACUGGCGUAGCCGGCGCGAAAGCUUUGCAAAUUGCGAAAGCACGUCAAGGAUAAUCCGAGUGGUAGCUGCUAAAUGACCGUGGAAUGUCUACAAAACUGUGCUACCUUCC
rnacentral:rRNA from 1 species